rnacentral:RNase_P_RNA from 1 species
GCAGGUGGUCGAGGCAGUCGCGGCUGUUUUUUCAGCUGAGGAAAGUCCGAACUCCACAGAGCGGCGUGCCGGAUAACGUCCGGUGGGAGUAAUCCUCAAGACAGUGCUAUAGAAACGGAAACCGCCAGAAAUUUUCUGGUAAGGGUGGAAAGGUGCGGUAAGAGCGCACCAGCUGGCUGGUAACAGCCAGGCUUUGAAAACCUCACGCGGAGCAAACUCAGAUAGGAGAGGGUUGAUGUUGCUCGCGGACCUCUCGGGUAGAGCGCUAGAGCCAGUUGGUAACAGCUGGUCCAGAUAAAUGAUUGCCACAUACAAAAUUCGGCUUAACGAUCGCCUGCCGCC